UAAACAAACUAAGUACUGGUGCAGCAGGAACUAUAUGGAGCUAAAUGCUGUUGCUCCAUUUAGUUCCUGCUGUACCAGUACUUAGUUUGUUUA
rfam:Lucilia cuprina strain LS Scaffold353, whole genome shotgun sequence.